rnacentral:rRNA from 1 species
CCUACGGGAGGCAGCAGUGGGGAAUAUUGCACAAUGGGGGAAACCCUGAUGCAGCGACGCCGCGUGAGUGAAGAAGUAUUUCGGUAUGUAAAGCUCUAUCAGCAGGGAAGAAAAAAGACGGUACCUGAUUAAGAAGCCCUGGCUAACUACGUGCCAGAAGCCGCGGUAAUUCGUAGGGGGCAAGCGUUAAUCGGAUUUACUGGGUGUAAAGGGAGCGGAGACGGGGAAGCAAGUCUGAAGUGAAAGCCCGUGGCUUAACCACGGGACUGCUUUGGAAACCGGUUGACUAGAGUGAUAGAGAGGUAAGUGGAAUUCCUGGUGUAGCGGUGAAAUGCGUAGAUAUUAGGAGGAACACCAGAGGCGAAGGCAGCUUACUGGAC